CUGUCUUUACACCCUUUUUCAUUCUUCUCUCAGGGUAAUGCCAUUUUGGACCUCCACGCUUAGGCACGCUUUUUCCUUCUUCUCUCAAGUGCCAAAACUGAAGCAGAUGAUUUGGCGCAACUUUGGGAGGAGAUGGCAAUGGCUUUGGAAUCUUCCUAAUCUUGGGAUGUGGUUGAACAGCCAGCUCAGAUGGAAAAAGAACCGGGUGAGUAUAUUUUUAUCUUAAAAGAUGACAUCGACUAUGUAUGUCGAGUAUGUGACUAUAUAGGCCAAUCAAUUGACACCAUCAUUGAGGUAAUGAGAAUUCCCACCCAUUACACCCUAUAUUUUGGUUGGAGUAAACAAUCAAAUAUAUAUAUUCCUAGA